AUUGAACGCUGGCGGCAGGCCUAACACAUGCAAGUCGAACGAGUGGCGGACGGGUGAGUAAUGUCUGGGAAACUGCCUGAUGGAGGGGGAUAACUACUGGAAACGGUAGCUAAUACCGCAUACCAUCAGAUGGGCCCAGAUGGGAUUAGCUUGUUGGUGGGGUAACGGCUCACCAAGGCGACGAUCCCUAGCUGGUACGAGAGGAUGACCAGCCACACUGGAACUAAGAAACGGUCCAGACUCCUACGGUAGGCAGGAGUGGGGAAUAUUGCACAAUGGGCGCAAGCCUGAUGCAGCCAUGCCGCGUGUAUGAAGAAGGCCUUCGGGUUGUAAAGUACUUUCAGCGGGGAGGCGUUACCCGCAGAAGAAGCACCGGCUAACUCCGUGCCAGCCGCCGCGGUAAUUC
rnacentral:rRNA from 1 species